rnacentral:rRNA from 1 species
AUUGAACGCUGGCGGCAGGCCUAACACAUGCAAGUCGAACGAGUGGCGGACGGGUGAGUAAUGUCUGGGAAACUGCCCGAUGGAGGGGGAUAACUACUGGAAACGGUAGCUAAUACCGCAUACCAUCGGAUGUGCCCAGAUGGGAUUAGCUAGUAGGUGGGGUAACGGCUCACCUAGGCGACGAUCCCUAGCUGGUCUGAGAGGAUGACCAGGCACACUGGAACUGUGACACGGUCCAGACGCCUAAGGGAGGCAGCAGUGGGGAAUAUUGCACAAAGGGCGCAAGGCUGAUGCAGCCAAGCCGCGUGUAUGAAGAAGGCCUUCGGGUUGUAAAGUACUUUCAGCGAGGAGGCGUUACGCGCAGAAGAAGCACCGGCUAACUCCGUGCCAGCAGCCGCGGUAAUAC